rnacentral:rRNA from 1 species
AGAGUUUGAUCUUGGCUCAGGAUGAACGCUGGCGGCGUGCCUAACACAUGCAAGUCGAACGAUAUAGUGGCGGACGGGUGAGUAACGCGUAAGCAACCUACCUUCAAGACUGGUAUAACCUGCUGAAAAGUGGGCUAAUCCCAGAUAGUAUUUUAGAGAUGAUUUCUCUAUAAUUAAAUGCUUUAGCGCUUGAAGAUGGGCUUGCGUCCUAUCAGCUAGUUGGAGAGGUAAUGGCUCACCAAGGCGAAGACGGGUAGCUGGUUUGAGAGGACGACCAGUCACACUGGAACUGAGACACGGUCCAGACUCCUACGGGAGGCAGCAGUGAGGAAUUUUCCACAAUGGGCGAAAGCCUGAUGGAGCGACGCCGUGUGAGUGAUUAAAUCCUUCGGGAUGUAAAACUCUGUCAGAGGGGACGAUAUUGACGGUACCCUCAGAGGAAGCCCCGGCUAACUACGUGCCAGCAGCCGCGGUAAUACGUAGGGGGCGAGCGUUAUCCGGAAUUACUGGGCGUAAAGCGUAUGUAGGUGGUUUUGUAAGUCAGAUGUAAAAGAUUGCGGCUCAACCGUAAUAUGCAUUUGAAACUACAAGGCUAGAGAGAUUCAGAGGAGAGCGGAACUUACGGUGUAGCGGUGAAAUGCGUAGAUAUCGUAAGGAACACCAGUGGCGAAGGCGGCUCUCUGGGGAUUUUCUGACACUGAAAUACAAAAGCUAGGGGAGCAAACGGGAUUAGAUACCCCGGUAGUCCUAGCCCUAAACGAUGGUCAUUAGGUGUGUGAGGUAUCGACCCCUUACGUGCCGCAGCUAACGCGUUAAAUGACCCGCCUGGGAAGUACAGCCGCAAGGUUAAAACUCAAAAGAAUUGACGGGGGCCCGCACAAGCGGUGGAGCAUGUGGCUUAAUUCGAUCCUACGCGAAUAACCUUACCUGGAUUUGACAUGCUAGUAGUACCGACCCGAAAGGGAAGGGAUAUCGGUUUACCGAUGAGCUAGCACAGGUGCUGCAUGGCUGUCGUCAGCUCGUGUCGUGAGAUGUUGGGUUAAGUCCCGCAACGAGCGUAACCCCUAUUGUUAGUUGAUACUCUUUAUUGAGAUCACUCUAGCGAAACUGCCUCGGAUAACGGGGAGGAAGGUGGGGAUGAGGUCAAGUCAUCAUGGCCCUUAUGUCCAGGGCGACACACGUGCUACAAUGAUACAUACAAAGGGGAGCAAUACCGCAAGGUGGAGCAAAUCCCAAAAAGUGUAUCCCAGUUCGGAUUGAAGGCUGCAAUUCGCCUCCAUGAAGCUGGAAUCGCUAGUAACUGCAGAUCAGCGUGCUGCGGUGAAUACGUUCUCGGGCCUUGUACACACCGCCCGUCACACCAUGAAAGUCAGGAACACCCAAAGCCUCGAUUACUCGAGUUUAAGGUGGUAUUGAUGAUUGGGGUGAAGUCGUAACAAGGUA